GGUGGCAGAGUUGGAGCAAUCUUUUCUCAAGGCGAUACGAGGCAACUUGGAUAGUGAGGCGACUAGGCCCAAGGGAAUUCGAGCGUUGUAUAUUGUGUUAGGUUCUAUUUUGACUCGUUCAUCGUGGGUGAAACAUAAACCUAUUUGGACUCCUUUUUAUUUUUUUAUUUUCUUUCCUAUUAGAAUCCUUCUUGGUUUGCAAUAGCAGCAAUAGUGGGAUCUAUAUAUAUCCCACAUCUUCAGCGAACCAAGAGACUAUUCUCAUCUUCCUUUUUUUCGCAAGCUGC
rnacentral:lncRNA from 1 species